GUCAAAGCACUGCAAGAAAAGGAUUCGAGAUGUGAUCUAUAACACAAAAACGAAGCUACUGUACUACAUAAUGUAAUCUAACAUACCGUUCAGUGAUGAUAGUACAAUUCAAUUACUAAUCAAAAUAAGCUAACAGAAACUAACGAUUGUCAUGAAAUAAGCAAACCCUUUAAAUUCCUCUCCCUCCUCGCACUCUAUGGUACAAGUUCGAUCUCCAUCUCAUAACCUUCAAUCUGAUUGUCACCUCCGUGCUUGAAUAGUUAAGGUGCCAAGUGUGACCUCGAGAUGUUCGCAUCAAAAUUUCUGCCCUGACAUCAAUCUUCUGAUUUAUAAUGUAUCAUGCAAAACUUAAUCACGUAAAGAUCACAAUUGAGGCUACAUCAAUGUGAAAUAUAACAUGUUAGGUGCUGCAACAAUUAAUUUGUGAAGCAAAAUGAGUAUAGAAAUUUGAAGAUAUUUGAAUAGAAUUUAAAUGUGAUAUAACUUCUAAUCUGUGUUACCAUGAAAUGAAGAUUAAAAUAUAUCAAAUACACUGAUAAAUAGAAGCAUAUACAUCCCGUUCCUUUUUGCAUUAGGCUACUGAACAUUUCUUAUAAUCCAUUCGUAAAAUCAAAAGAAUUUUAACAAAAGAGGAGAUAUACAAGUUUUGAACAUAAAUUUUACAUAAUUGAUCAUAAUGUCAAGGAAAAACAACCACUGAGAUUCCUGAUCACAGCCAAAGAAAUUAUCUUAAAUUAUUUACAUUUUAAACAGCUUAUUAAAAAGCUUACAGAAGGAACGCCAACUAAGCUGGAAAACUAAAGUUCAAUACAUCAUUUUGUAAGGAACUUUCUGGAAAUAUUUACACGAUAUGAACAGAAAACAUCUAACGAGCAGCACUUUAAUCUUGUUAAAAUUUACAUAUUGGUGAGUACUUUACUUCUAUUCCUCCAAGAAGCAAACAAGAAAAGUUAAACGGUAGAAACAGAGCUCCCUCAUCAUAUACUCCUUAGAGACAUGUAAGUUAGGACAAAUUCUAUUGCAUCAUGACACUAUAAUGGGGAAUGUUCGAUUUCAAGAUCUGUUUGCCCCUGCCCUUUGAGUCUGCAAUUCUAGAAUUUCAAAAAUUACGAUUUAAAAAAUGGAUUUUCGGACAUAAUAUAUGGAGAAAAUCACAGGAUGAGAUUAUGUAGUCGAUUUGCAAUGAAAGAAGAUUUCUUGGAAUCAAUUCUUGAUUUCUUCUUGAUCGCUGCUGCAAUGGAGAGGAUAAAGGUUGGGGAUUUUUGGGCGUGAUUUGUGGUGGGGUGUGUAUAGUGAUUGAUAUGUCAUGUUUGGUGGAGUGAUGAUAGCUUCUCUUUAAUUAGUGAUAUGAGUGAAUAUAUUUAUUGGUUAUCAUUUUUACUCUAUAUGUUGUAGUAAUUUUGGAACUAAAAAAGUUGAAAUGUAAAAUUUGAAUAUUAAUUUAAAUUGUAGUGACAGGUGUAAUUUCUGCUAUUUUUUAACACAAAUGUGUGCACAUUUUAACGCCUAAGUGUGCAUAUAUGGUCAACGAAAUGUGUUGACUAUUUUAUUAUGCGCAUAUCACAUAUGCAAUGGGUUUCAAAAAAGCAUCGAGCAUAUGCAGGUAUGUACAAAGUAUAUAUGUGCAUUUUAGAACACUAAUUUUACAUAAUUUUGGACGAGGCGGAAUUUUCUGGUGGGGUGAUGAAAAUAUUUGUUAAGCUUGCAUUGCCAAGUGAUGUGACAGAGUUGAAUUAGGUUUGGUAGGUCAGUGUAGCGUUGAAAAAUGGGAUGUCGAAAAAACAUGCUUUCAGGCCGGAUAAUUUGAAUUCAAAAGGCACAUUGUCGUUUGUGAGUAAGUGAUAAGUAUGUUUUUGCACACUUAUUUAGGUCAGAAACAUGACUUAAUAAAGAGUAAAAUGAUUGAAUUGUGACUUAAUCUUGUUACAUUUUGUGAAUUGUAGGGAACACUGAUGAACAUGGUGAAAUUCAGGAGAAAAGACGUGAAAAAGAACUAAAAUGACGUAAAGUGAAAGUUCAGGGACUAAGGUGCAAUUAUCCAAAGUUGACAACAAAUCUAGAAAUUGGUGAAGUCAAAUGUCAGUUGAUGAUAUCUUGGGAUGAUGGAAUGGAAAGAAUGAAGAAAAUAUGUCAAGAAGUGAAGAAUUCAAGUAAAAGGACCAAAAUGAACUUCUUCCAUAGUUGGUAGCACUAUACCCUCUAUGCGGCCGCAUAGAGGCAAGCCGAUAGCUAAAUGUCACAAAAACUUUAUUCUAUGCGACCGCAUAGUGCAUUUUCAGGCCAAAUUCGUAGUUUCCUUAUUCUGCCGAAACUCUUAUGGAAACAAUCUUUUUAGGGUCCUAUAUAAACGAAAACUCGACCAGAAAGAGGGGGAGGCCCUUUUUACAAGUUUUUGAGAGAUUUUGAAGGAGAAACGAAGAGAGAACAAUAGGAAAACAUCGCGCCAAGUAAAGAUUCGAUUGAAACUUGAUUCGGGUGAUGACGUUUCUUCAACUAUUUUUAUAUUUUCUUCUUUUUAGCAUGUUAGGCUAGAUUUUUCAUUGCUAGAGAUCGAUAAACAUUGUAAUACUACGUUUGAUUUUUUAUUUGGAUAUUUGACAUAUUUAAACGCAUGUUCCAGAAUUGAAUGAUUUAUUACGUUUUUAUUUCCAUAUUAUUAUUAUGCAUUUAAUUAUAUGAUUGUGGUGGCUUGUUUUAUGCAUUCGAAAGAAGGAAAAUAGGCUCGACAUAGUAUAAAUCAUCAUAAGGUCCGAUAGGGGAUAAAAAUAUGCCUCCAUACCUUGUGUGAAUUGUUGGAUGUUCAGGAAAUCAUAAUGCAUUCCGGUAUAUUAGUAUUCGUCAUAGAGAUAUAAUCGAAUCACAUAUUGAUGUAAGUUUGGCAUUGCUCGAGAGAGAUUGCUAAAUUAAAAUAGAAAUAUUGAUUCAUCUUUUGUGGGGCUGUGUGUCAAAAUUGACGAUUGAAAAUUGAAUAGGUAUUGCUUGAGGAUUCGUGAUUCUAGUGCGUUAGUAAAUUCAUUAAUUCCAUAAAUUCUUAUAAAUUACAUCCAAAUCAUUUUCCAUUUAAUAUAAUUAUUUCAGUCAUAAUUGUAUCAUAGUUUACAUAUUCUUUAACUAAAUCACAAUACAUCAAUUUUACUUUAGUGUUUCGGUUAGGAUCAUAAUAGAUUGAUUUGAACUAAUUCAAUCCUUGUGGGAUCGAUACUUGGACUCAUAGUCCAUUUUACUACUUAUUAACGAAUUGUACACUUGCGGUGGAUUUUAAAUCGAAACAAAUAAUUUCGUGAACAGUAAGACAGCAGCAUCGACGCCUACAUUGGUGCUGACUAGCGGGAACGGAGUUUGAGGGCAAAAUCGAUGUGAAAGCGAAGGGAAUACUUCGGAAUUUUAGAGGGCUGCUCCUAGCUGUUUUGUCCCACUUUUAGGAUUUUAGAUUUGAGGGUUGUGGUUUUCCAAUAUACAUCGGAAUAAAAAAUUAGGAGGUGAAAUAUAUAAUCUACAUAUGUCAUUGUAGGUAAAAAUAAGUAUUUUUCUUGUUCUUAUUUUGGUUAUAGUUACAAUUAUAUGACAAAAAUAAUAUUUUAUUUUGAUCGGUAUUUAUGAACAUUUGUACAACAACUUUUUUGUACAAUAAAAGCAUGUUUUGUAAUAUAGACUUUCUUGACUGAUCAUGAUUACGAAAGAAGGAUGGGAUGAAUGAUUGAAGAACCGUGCUGCUCUGCCAGGCCUGUAACAAGCCUAGUAGAGCACUUCAUCUCAUAUUUGGGGGUUGGGGUGGGUAUUUUUUUAACAAUGCGGAAUCCAUUGAGGUGAGAGAAUGUGAGAGGAGGGCCUCUACCAGGCCUAGUAGAGGAGCUUAGUUCAUGAUUGAAUAUGAACUAGCCUUGUCUUCUCGUAUAUUACGAUUCAAAGCAAACGAAAUUUGUAAAUAUAUAAAAUACAAGGGAAAAUUAAGGGGGGCAUUAAGAAAAGACAUUCAUAACUAAUGUCUUUAUUUUGAUACUUAUGUAAUUUGGUUCCUUAGGAUCCCAAAUGUUUCAUUGUUCCAGCUUUCCAGUCAUUUUAUUUUUUUUGCCCUGCUUGACCCACAUUCUUUAAAAAAAAUAUAUAAUAAUAAUAAUAAAAUAAAAUUAUUUGAUAUCUUUUCAAUCACUCAUUUUUCAAUGAAAUAAUAUUACACAAAAAUCCACCAUUUUUCUUAUUUUUUAAUUACAUAUUUUUCAUCAAUAUACUAUUCAAAAAUACAUUUUUAUAAAAAUAACAUGGCUCAAACAAGGGCUUAUCUAUGAUUAUCACUAAUAAUCAACUUACAUGCUCCAUAACGUGGAUUUUAAAGUAUUUGAUAAUAAUAAUAAUAAUAAUGUAUUAGAAAGAGACAACAUGAGCUUUAUCAAAUUACAAGAAAUAUCCUCACAUUAAAAAAUAAAAAAUAAAGCCACACUAACAUCCCCUAUUUGUAGUUUUGAGUAUUACAUGUAACAUACUCACUGAAUAUUAUUUAAGAUAUAUAUCAUCUAAGAUUAUGUUGAUAUAUCGAAAAUGAUAUAUUAAAAAAAUGAAUUUUUCUGUGGAACUAAAUUAUAAGAAAAUAAUUUUAUACGUUAUAUAAAAGGCUCCUUAGACAUAGUUUAAUUACGUAAAGUUUUAUUUAAUUUUAUGUGGUAUUAAUUUUUUUUGAAUAUAUAUUUUUAGGUGAAUGUUUAGCAUAAGCUAAAUGCAAUGAUAUAUUACAUCAAUUAAUUGAUGAAUAAGUUCAUGAUAGGUCAUUAAUUAAAUGAUCGGCCUUAAUUUGAUGGAUCGUGUCAAACCACGUACAAAUGUGCAAGAUAUUAAUGAUGAUAUUGUUUAAGAUAUCAUAAUUAUUAAUAUAUCAUAUUAACACGAAGUUCUAUUAUAUAACAUGAUCAUCNGGUAGAAACAGAGCUCCCUCAUCAUAUACUCCUUAGAGACAUGUAAGUUAGGACAAAUUCUAUUGCAUCAUGACACAAUAAUGGGGAAUGUUCGAUUUCAAGAUCUGUUUGCCCCUGCCCUUUGAGUCUGCAAUGCUAGAAUUUCAAAAAUUACGAUUUAAAAAAUGGAUUUUCGGACAUAAUAUAUGGAGAAAAUCACAGGAUGAGAUUAUGUAGUCGAUUUGCAAUGAAAGAAGAUUUCUUGGAAUCAAUUCUUGAUUUCUUCUUGAUCGCUGCUGCGAUGGAGAGGAUAAAGGUUGGGGAUUUUUGGGCGUGAUUUGUG
rnacentral:lncRNA from 1 species